AAUGGCUCAUUAAAUCAGUUAUCGUUUAUUUGAUAGUACCUUUACCUGGAUAACCGUGGUAAUUCUAGAGCUAAUACAUGCUAAAAACCCCGACUUCGGGAGGGGUGUAUUUAUUAGAUAAAAAACCAAUGCCCUUUGGGCUCCUUGGUGAUUCAUAAUAACUUAACGAAUCGCAUGGCCUUGCGCCGGCGAUGGUUCAUUCAAAUUUCUGCCCUAUCAACUUUCGAUUGUAAGAUAGAGGCUUACAAUGGUCUUAACGGGUAACGGGGAAUUAGGGUUCUAUUCCGGAGAGGGAGCCUGAGAAACGGCUACCACAUCCAAGGAAGGCAGCAGGCGCGCAAAUUACCCAAUCCCGAUACGGGGAGGUAGUGACAAUAAAUACUGAUACGGGGCUCUUUCGGGUCUCGUAAUUGGAAUGAGUACAAUCUAAAUCCCUUAACGAGGAACAAUUGGAGGGCAAGUCUGGUGAACUUUUGUUUCCAUCAAUUCAUGUUUUUUCCGACUACUCGGGGUGUAAGCUCCUUUGUCAGACCAUCUAAACAAGGUAUGUCUAGUAGUUUGAGAGACGUGAUUGCUGUCGCCAGAAACAGGCCCGCCGCCUUUGUGGGUGGUUGAAGAGGCCUAGUCGAGAUCGUCACCUCACUCUUUCAUGUUAGGGGAGAGGUUCUAUCUGGGGGAUAGUUCAGACGGCCCGGCAACAUAACCUGGUACGGGGGAGCCCGACGGCAUGCCCGAAUAGUGGCAUGACGGGGUAAUCCCGUGGCGAGACGUCUGGCUUCUCAGGCGUCCGUCGUAGAGCACGGUAAGGUAUGGGUCACUGAAUGUGGCUUCAGGGACGUGCCGAAUCCACCGGAGACGGUGGCCGUACAAGUCAUGUGGCGCCUAGUUUGGCACCUCUGUGGCGAUACCCGAGUACCUCCAGUAUGAAGGGUUACGGGCUGGGAGACAACCUAUCUCCUGCGUUUGCAGGGGGAGAUCGAUAAACCAUCAGUUUUUGAUGGGCUCUCCAGCACUAAAGGGUUUCAGGGCCUUUGUCGGUAGGCAUUGGCCCCCUCGAAACACCUUGAAUUGGCCAGCAGCCGCGGUAAUUCCAGCUCCAAUAGCGUAUAUUAAAGUUGUUGCCGUUAAAAAGCUCGUAGUUGAACCUUGGACCUGGCUGAUCUGUCCUCCUAAUCGAGCGCACGGAUUCGGUCGGGUCUUUCCUUCUGGGGAACCCUAUGCCCUUUACUGGGUGUAGUGGGGAACCAGGACUUUUACCUUGAAAAAAUUAGAGUGUUCAAAGCAGGCCUUUGCUCGAAUACAUUAGCAUGGAAUAAUAGAAUAGGACAUCGGUUCUAUUUUGUUGGUUUCUAGGACCGCUGUAAUGAUUAAUAGGGAUAGUCGGGGGCGUCAGUAUUCAAUUGUCAGAGGUGAAAUUCUUGGAUUUAUUGAAGACUAACUACUGCGAAAGCAUUCGCCAAGGAUGUUUUCAUUAAUCAGUGAACGAAAGUUAGGGGAUCGAAGACGAUCAGAUACCGUCGUAGUCUUAACCAUAAACUAUGCCGACUAGGGAUCGGACGGUGGUUUUUUUAUGCCCCGUUCGGCACCUUACGAGAAAUCAAAGUUUUUGGGCUCGGGGGGGAGUAUGGUCGCAAGGCUGAAACUUAAAGAAAUUGACGGAAGGGCACCACCAGGCGUAAACGUAACGAAGCUGCAGUUAACUCUGCGCCUAAAAGCAGCCCGAAAGGGUCGGGUGGUGCGUCGUUAAAUGCUAGUCC
rnacentral:rRNA from 1 species